GAUGAACGCUGGCGGCAGGCCUAACGCAUGCAAGUCGAGGGGGAAGUUCCUUUCGGGUGGCUGAGCCCGGCGUACGGGCGCGUAACGCGUAUACAAUCUGCCUUUCACUGGCGGGUAGCUCGCUGCAAGUUGGAUUAGUACCUCCCAGAAUAUAGGGACGGCAUCGUUUUUAUGUUAAAGCUUAGGCGGUGAAUGGUGAGGAGGCGUUCGAUUAGCUAGUUGGUGAGGUAACGGCUCCCCAAGGCGUUGAUAGAUAGGGGUUCUGCGAGGGAUGUCCCCCAGACGGGUACCGGGAUACUUACCAGACUCCUACGGGAGGCAGCAGUGCGGAAGAUUGGACAAGGGUCGGUAGACUGAUCCAGCCAAGCCGCGUGCAGGAAGAAGGUGUGAUGGAUGGUAAACUGCUGGUGGAAGAGAGCAAUAAGGGCUACGCGUAGGUUGAUGACGGUACCUUACGAAGAAGCACCGGCUAACUCCGUG
rnacentral:rRNA from 1 species